rnacentral:misc_RNA from 1 species
GUGGGAGGGGGCUUGCCCCCGAUAGCGGUGUGCCAGUCGACAUAUCUGCAAACUGACAGUCCGCUAUCGGGGGCAAGCCCCCUCCCAC